rnacentral:rRNA from 1 species
GACGAACCGAGCGAACGUUAUUCGGAAUCACUGGGCUUAAAGGGCGCGUAGGCGGGCUGACAAGUCUGGGGUGAAAUCCUCCAGCUCAACUGGAGAACUGCCUUAGAUACUGUCGGCCUCGAGGAAGGUAGGGGCAUGCGGAACUGUAGGUGGAGCGGUGAAAUGCGUUGAUAUCUACAGGAACGCCGGUGGCGAAAGCGGCGUGCUGGACCUUUUCUGACGCUGAGGCGCGAAAGCUAGGGGAGCAAACGGG